rnacentral:rRNA from 1 species
GACGAACGCUGGCGGCGUGCUUAACACAUGCAAGUCGAACGGAAAGGCCCUGCUUUUGUGGGGUGCUCGAGUGGCGAACGGGUGAGUAACACGUGAGUGACCUGCCCUUGACUUUGGGAUAACUUCAGGAAACUGGGGCUAAUACCGGAUAGGAGCUCCUGCUGCAUGGUGGGGGUUGGAAAGUUUCGGCGGUUGGGGAUGGACUCGCGUCUUAUCAGCUUGUUGGUGGGGUAGUGGCUUACCAAGGCUUUGACGGGUAGCCGGCCUGAGAGGGUGACCGGCCACAUUGGGACUGAGAUACGGCCCAGACUCCUACGGGAGGCAGCAGUGGGGAAUAUUGCACAAUGGCGGAAGCCUGAUGCAGCAACGCCGCGUGCGGGAUGACGGCCUUCGGGUUGUAAACCGCUUUCGCCUGUGACGAAGCGUGAGUGACGGUAAUGGGUAAAGAAGCACCGGCUAACUACGUG